rnacentral:rRNA from 1 species
GACGAACGCUGGCGGCGUGCUUAACACAUGCAAGUCGAACGGAAAGGCCCUGCUUUUGUGGGGUGCUCGAGUGGCGAACGGGUGAGUAACACGUGAGUAACCUGCCCUUGACUUUGGGAUAACUUCAGGAAACUGGGGCUAAUACCGGAUAGGAGCUCCUGCUGCAUGGUGGGGGUUGGAAAGUUUCGGCGGUUGGGGAUGGACUCGCGGCUUAUCAGCUUGUUGGUGGGGUAGUGGCUUACCAAGGCUUUGACGGGUAGCCGGCCUGAGAGGGUGACCGGCCACAUUGGGACUGAGAUACGGCCCAGACUCCUACGGGAGGCAGCAGUGGGGAAUAUUGCACAAUGGGCGGAAGCCUGAUGCAGCAACGCCGCGUGCGGGAUGACGGCCUUCGGGUUGUAAACCGCUUUCGCCUGUGACGAAGAGUGAGUGACGGUAAUGGGUAAAGAAGCACCGGCUAACUACGUGCCAGCAGCCGCGGUGAUACGUAGGGUGCGAGCGUUGUCCGGAUUUAUUGGGCGUAAAGGGCUCGUAGGUGGUUGAUCGCGUCGGAAGUGUAAUCUUGGGGCUUAACCCUGAGCGUGCUUUCGAUACGGGUUGACUUGAGGAAGGUAGGGGAGAAUGGAAUUCCUGGUGGAGCGGUGGAAUGCGCAGAUAUCAGGAGGAACACCAGUGGCGAAGGCGGUUCUCUGGGCCUUUCCUGACGCUGAGGAGCGAAAGCGUGGGGAGCGAACAGGCUUAGAUACCCUGGUAGUCCACGCUGUAAACGGUGGGUACUAGGUGUGGGGUCCAUUCCACGGGUUCCGUGCCGUAGCUAACGCUUUAAGUACCCCGCCUGGGGAGUACGGCCGCAAGGCUAAAACUCAAAGGAAUUGACGGGGCCCCGCACAAGCGGCGGAGCAUGCGGAUUAAUUCGAUGCAACGCGUAGAACCUUACCUGGGUUUGACAUGGAUCGGGAGUGCUCAGAGAUGGGUGUGCCUCUUUUGGGGUCGGUUCACAGGUGGUGCAUGGCUGUCGUCAGCUCGUGUCGUGAGAUGUUGGGUUAAGUCCCGCAACGAGCGCAACCCUUGUUCACUGUUGCCAGCACGUUAUGGUGGGGACUCAGUGGAGACCGCCGGGGUCAACUCGGAGGAAGGUGGGGAUGACGUCAAGUCAUCAUGCCCCUUAUGUCCAGGGCUUCACGCAUGCUACAAUGGCUGGUACAGAGAGUGGCGAGCCUGUGAGGGUGAGCGAAUCUCGGAAAGCCGGUCUCAGUUCGGAUUGGGGUCUGCAACUCGACCUCAUGAAGUCGGAGUCGCUAGUAAUCGCAGAUCAGCAACGCUGCGGUGAAUACGUUCCCGGGGCU